ACUAGCAAAUAACUGCAAAAAAAAAAAUAUCUCCUAAUCCAAGCGCUCAGCAGGCCGAUUUGGAAAGAUUUCAACACUGUCCCUUGAUUUAAUUUAACUGAAAUAAGACACUUUUUCGACAACAUGCAGCCAGAAUUUUGCUCGACCACAUCGUCAGUAGUGCACAUAAAAAAUAGUUGCACGUAUUUUGGUAAAAGCCGCGAACAGAAAAGCAGCUACAGAAAACGAAACUACAACCCGAAACGGAAACUAAAACGCGACCAGACAAUAAAAAAGUGAAAAACGCUAUGCAAAUGGCCCUUUCCCGCCGCUUCUGCACUGCCAAGUGCAUGAGAAAAUAUGUAAAACAGAAACUGGACGAUGACAAGCUAGAGAAUGGAAACCGAAAACGUGAAUCCCUAGGUGCCAUGGCCAUCGGACGUGGGUGAAGAGAGACCACUGCAGUGCGGUGGUCCUCACGCGACGGAAUGGUGGAGGGGAUCCAAAGUAUCCCCCAAUAAUAAAUUGGAAAAGUGCUAAAUUUAAUAAAAUUCUUAUUUUCAGAGAGCCUGUCUAAGGCCAUAUAAGUCCCAGCGCAACCAGACUCGCUCAUGGCACUCACACCAGCAAGAGCUCCAGCUCAGACACCCACUCCGGCACACACCCAUCUACACACACACACUACCUAAAACAACAACCAACAAGGGUCACAACUGAUGUGCGGUUUUGGUUUUAUGGCUUACGGCUUUGAUUGCUGUCAUCGCUCAAUUGAUUUUUCACUAAUGCCGUCAAUUGGCAAACGCAAAACCGAAAUAAAAGUGAAAUGCAAAGCAUUAAAAACAACAGAACUUAAACGCCAAAAUAAAUAAUUUGUCGAACAGUGACGUGCGUGUGCGAUUUUGAGGCAAACAAUACAUA
rnacentral:misc_RNA from 1 species